ensembl:lncRNA novel transcript
CAGAGGUUGUGAGCCUCCCCUGGCUCAGCCUGACCCAGAACCAGCUCACUCAUGAAACUACCCUCUCUUGAAGAGAAUAGGAGUUGUGGGGAGGAAGAACAUAACCCAGAGGCCAGAGAACGUGGAGGCCAGGGUUGGUGUAACUGUGUAGGCUCUUCCACAUACUAGCUGUGUGAACUUGGACAAGUGACUUAACUUCUCUUCUCCGUGUCUGCUAACAGUCCCUACACAGAUGGUUGUUGUGAGGCUUAGUUACCAUACAAAAUUCUUAGAUUAGUGCCUGGCACAUAAUAAUAACCACAGCCCCCAAAUGCUAGUUGUCAUUCAUUAUCUUAACAUACCAUGUGAAGGUUGUGUUCUCUUACAUUCUAUAGCCCUCUGUGUUUUAAUAUAAAAUUGUGAUGUCUCUCUUUCUUUUAUUUGUAUUUUUUGAGUAAAACGGACAUUUCAGAAAGA